rnacentral:rRNA from 1 species
UACGAAGGGGGCUAGCGUUGUUCGGAUUUACUGGGCGUAAAGCGCACGUAGGCGGAUCGUUAAGUCGGGGGUGAAAUCCUGGAGCUCAACUCCAGAACUGCCUCUGAUACAGCAAGUCUUGAGUUCGAGAGAGGUGGGUGGAAUUCCUAGUGUAGAGGUGAAAUUCGUAGAUAUUAGGAAGAACACCGGUGGCGAAGGCGGCCCACUGGCUCGAUACUGACGCUGAGGUGCGAAAGCGUGGGGAGCAAACAGG